UGGGGAAUAUUGGGCAAUGGGCGCAAGCCUGACCCAGCAACGCCGCGUGAGGGAAGAAGGUCUUCGGAUUGUAAACCUCUGUCGCAGGGGACGAAACAAAUGACGGUACCCUGCAAGAAAGCCCCGGCUAACUACGUGCCAGCAGCCGCGGUAAUACGUAGGGGGCAAGCGUUGUCCGGAAUUAUUGGGCGUAAAGGGAGCGUAGGCGGCUGCUUAAGUCAGAUGUGAAAUACCAGGGCUCAACCCUGGGGCUGCAUUUGAAACUGGGCAGCUAGAGUGUAGGAGAGGUAAGUGGAAUUCCUAGUGUAGCGGUGAAAUGCGUAGAUAUUAGGAGGAACACCAGUGGCGAAGGCGACUUACUGGACUAUAACUGACGCUGAGGCUCGAAAGCGUGGGGAGCAAACA
rnacentral:rRNA from 1 species